rnacentral:lncRNA from 10 species
AGAAUCCUUAACAUUCUUCAAGGGACCAAGCCUUUCAAAAGAAAUGGCUGUGUGUUCUUACGCCUCCAAAAGGUUUUUGUUGCUUGCCUGCUGAUCUCUGUUUUUCACUUUCCCCACCUUCCCCACAUUAGGCCACAUGAUGCUCAGACUUGUGCAGUAGGCUCGACUCCACUUAUGUAUCAGGAUGCUGUAUACCGUGAAGUGCAUACAGUAUCUAUGCAUGGCUGUGGAUGCUGUGAUGAUCAGGUCUGAGAAACGUUUUGCUGAAUUAUAAACUGGAUUUAAAAGUUUUAAAUACUUUUGCCAUUUGUAUCACUUAU